CCUACGGGAGGCAGCAGUGAGGAAUAUUGGUCAAUGGGCGAGAGCCUGAACCAGCCAAGUCGCGUGAAGGAUGACGGCCCUACGGGUUGUACACUUCUUUUGUCAGGGAGCAAUUGGGUCCACGCGUGGGUUUAGCGAGAGUACCUGACGAAAAAGCAUCGGCUAACUCCGUGCCAGCAGCCGCGGUAAUACGUAGGAUGCGAGCGGUAUCCGGAUUUAUUGGGUUUAAAGGGUGCGUAGGCGGAAUAUCAAGUCAGCGGUAAAAAUUCGGGGCUCAACCCCGUCGUGCCGUUGAAACUGAUGUUCUUGAGUGGGCGAGAAGUAUGCGGAAUGCGUGGUGUAGCGGUGAAAUGCAUAGAUAUCACGCAGAACUCCGAUUGCGAAGGCAGCAUACCGGCGCCCAACGGACGCUGAAGCACGAAAGCGUGGGUAUCGAACAGGAUUAGAUACCCCAGUAGUC
rnacentral:rRNA from 1 species